GCGCACGGGUGAGUAACACGUGACUAAUCUACCCUCGAGUGGGGAAUAACUCAGAGAAAUCUGGGCUAAUACCGCAUAACACUUACGAGUCAAAGCCGCAAGGCGCUUGGGGAGGAGGUCGCGGCCGAUUAGCUAGUUGGCGGGGUAAUGGCCCACCAAGGCGAUGAUCGGUAUCCGGCCUGAGAGGGCGCACGGACACACUGGAACUGAAACACGGUCCAGACUCCUACGGGAGGCAGCAGUGGGGAAUUUUGCGCAAUGGGGGAAACCCUGACGCAGCAACGCCGCGUGGAGGAUGAAGUAUCUUGGUACGUAAACUCCUUUCGAUGGGGAAGAUAAUGACGGUACCCAUAGAAGAAGCCCCGGUAACUUCGUGCCAGCAGCCGCGGUAAUACGAGGGGGGCAAGCGUUGUUCGGAUUUAUUGGGCGUAAAGGGUGCGUAGGCGGUUUGGCAAGUCUUGUGUGAAAUCUUCGGGCUCAACCCGAAGCCUGCACAAGAAACUUGCCGGGCUUGAGUAUGGGCAGAGGUGAGUGGAAUUUCCGGUGUAGCGGUGAACAU
rnacentral:rRNA from 1 species